AUGUAAUCGCACACCAUAUUGGCCACGCCGGUGGCGCUAUUGCGCGCUGAGUUCGAAAUAUCUGCAGCAGAGUUAGAGAGAACUGCUGUGGGUGAGUCGGUUCUUUUGCAGCUCCGUGCUAAGAGUUAUAAAAUAUUGGUUUAAUAUUCGAAUAUUAGACAAUGCAUAUGGAACUGCAUCCCGGCUGAAAAGACUCACUAUUCUCUCCUUUUUACUGCUCUGUGUGCAGAAAAUAAACGAUAAUAUCAUCCACAUUGAGUGUGUGUGCUGUUGAGGAGUGGGUCAGACUGGGCCAGUUUGGAUCAAAGGUCACAUUGGUGCCGUGACCCGGAUCUCAAUCAAGGUGGUCGAAGAUCAUCCCAACUUUGGACCGGCGGACCUGUCAUCAUUCUUCACUGCACAGAACCUUCAGCUAAGAUGUUAUUAGUUGUUGCUGGACUUUAAAAAAAAACAAAAAAAAACUUUUGAAUGGGCACUCUAAAGUGGUUUGAUAUUUUAUUGUCCAGACGGAACUGCAUCCCGGCUGAAAAGACUCACUAUUCUCUCCUUUUUACUGCUCUGUGUGCAGAAAAUAAACGAUAAUAUCAUCCACAUUGAGUGUGUGUGCUGUUGAGGAGUGGGUCAGACUGCGCCAGUUUGGAUCAAAGGUCACAUAUAUAAAUUACAUAUUUCAGUUACUU